ACACAAUGUAAAUAGUCCGGGUAGCCAUUUGAUUACCUGUUCAGGAGUCUUAUGGCUUGGGGGUAAAAACUGUUGAGAAGCCUUUUUGUCCUAGUCUCUGAACUCCUCCCUAUAGGCUGUCUUGUUGUUGUCGGUGAUCAGGGCUACCACUGUUGUGUCGUCUGAAAACUUAAUGAUGGCGUUGGAGUCGUGCCUGGCCAUGCAGUCGUAGGUGAACAGGGAGUACAGGAGGGGACUGAGCACGCACCCCUGGGGGGCUCCAGUGUUGAGGAUCAGCAUGGCAGAUGUGUUGCUGCCUACCCUCACCACCUGGGUGCGGCCGGUCAGGAAGUCCAGCAGGAGUUAGAUGAGGAGCAGGAGUUAGAUGAGAAGCAGGAGGUAGAUGAGGAGCAGGAGGCAGAUGAGGAGCAGGAGGCAGAUGAGGAGCAGGAGGUAGAUGAGGAGCAGGAGGUAGAUGAGGAGCAGGAGGCAGAUGAGGAGCAGGAGUUAGAUGAGGAGCAGGAGGUAGAUGAGGAGCAGGAGGUAGAUGAGGAGCAGGAGGCAGAUGAGGAGCAGGAGGCAGAUGAGGAGCAGGAGGCAGAUGAGGAGCAGGAGGCAGAUGAGGAGCAGGAGGCAGAUGAGGAGCAGGAGGUAGAUGAGAGGAGAAGGUAGAUGAGAAGAGAUGGUAGAAGAGGAGCAGGAGGUAGAUGAGAGGAGAAGGUAGAUGAGAAGAGAUGGUAGAAGAGGA
ensembl:lncRNA